GAAAUGCACCACUGUUUCUUGCUUGUGUUAGAAACGUGUGAAAGAAUUAGUCUGAAAAGUCUUUGCAACGUCUAGUUUCUCCCUCUCCUUUUCUUCUCUCUCUCUUCGUCUCCCUCCCUCCCCUUCCCUCCUCCCUCCCACUCCCCCUCCCUCCCCUCGCAGAGCCGCAGGAAAAGAAGAAUGUCGGCUUCGACUGCCAUCUUUUGGGGAUUUGGAAAAACGACUCGGCACAUGAAGUUGACAAGAGACUCUCCAUGGCAUCAAGCUGUAUGUUUCUGGCCCUGUCCUGCUUACUCUGCCUAUGUCUUCUCCCUGAGAAAACAAGUUCAGCCCAAACUUCCGGGUAAAGCUCAGAUGGAAUUCCUAAAAAACUGAGAAGAAACUGGAGGUCCAGCUUGCAUAGCAAUGUAGCCAGACCUCAGCCUCAUCACAUUAUGGAUUGCAUUCUUACCCAAAUACUCUUCGUGAUUGCCUGCUUUGCGGCUUUGGGAUUCUUUCAGGGGAUGGAGACCAUUCACAUGGAUUGACAUGCCAAUUUUCUCACCGUGAAUCUGGACUGUUAUUGAUUGAUUGCUAUUGCAAGCACUGCUGCCCAGAACAUUCUUCUACAUGAGCCCUGGCGGACACAUGAAAGACUGAAAGGCUCUAGUAAGUCAAAACCAGGACUAGAGUUGUUCAGUUGUAGGAUAUUCGGAUAUCCAAAUUUACCAUGUAAUGAGUGCAGGUGACUGAGUACCUCAUUAGGCUAUUAUUUCAAAAUGGAGAAUAAAACAAAAAUUUUCUGCGUGAGGAUCAUCGUCGACAUGUCUGUGCAUGAAGAAACCAAAUAUAGUUUUUCUUUCCUGGGAGAUCUGACGUGAGAAACCAGUUGUCCAUUUCACUGCCUCUUCACUUGUGGCCACCUCCGUGGUGACAGCCCAUGGUGGACAGAGAAUGGCAGGUACAUCAGGAGCUGACACCCUGGCGUUCUACCCACGAUUGCAGAUUGUAUUACGUGGACCAGUCACUUCUGUUCUCAAGCCUCAGCUGUCAUGGCUACCUUAUGCCAGAUGUACAACGAUGCCUGCAUCGAAGCAGGGACCCGGUCUAGGUGGCAGUGUGAUGUCCCACCCAAUUCUUAGGUGCAUGACUCAGUUCGCUUACUUUACUGGGAGGGCAUUGUAACCUCUCCUAUCAGUUGCAAAAUCUUUAACAUCCAGCAACAAAGAAAUGUGCUGUGGACUGUCUUCUGGAUUUUGUGCCUUCAUAUAUAGGACUGCAAAGCCUAUUAAAGAAGAACAUUUCUCUCCUCCCACCAAGGCCCUGGGUAUCUUUUUAAAUGCCAUUUGGAUCAUGUUACUUCUCUGCAUAAAAUCUUUCAAUUGCUCUUCCUUGUGUAUGGGAUAAUAACAACAGUAUUUGCGGGGCACCCAUGAUGGUUUGUGGUGGGUCCCUGGGUCCACUGCCCCCAUGGGUACCCUGGCCUCUGACCCUAACAAGAUUGACGUUCCUCUUGUUUGCCAUCCUCUCUCUUCCCCAUGCCUUGCUCUUCAAUGGACCAUUUCCUCUGAAGUUAAGGUGCUUCUUUGCUUUCUCUGCUUCUUAUACAUUCAGCUGAGGCAUCUUGUCCUCCAAGAAGCCUGUUACGAACCUCCAAGGCCCUUGUGUGGCCCUCUUCUGUGCCCAUCUGACCCUCAUUGCUUCCCAUGGCAGCCUUAGCUGUGCUGCGUUGUGUUGGCCUUUUGUGGUUUGUCUUGCCCACUAGUCUGGAAGCUUUUGAAGACAGGGACUGGACCUUUCAUUUUGGCAGUUUCUGCACUCAAUCCAGAGCCUAGUACAUGGGUAACAGGGUCAAUAUGUGUUUACCAAACAAGUAAAUGAAGAAAGCCUACAUUUGACAAGAUCUCCUGUAUGAUAAUUAGGGAUACCAUAAACCUAGAGAUUAUAAUUAGGUUGAUAUAUGGCUGGUAGAAAACUGUCUCUAAAGAAUUUAGAGCAGGCCUAAAUCAGACAAUAAAUGUGUGAUGAUUUAUAAGAAGGAGGAAGGGUGUGAGCUGAGAAGCAGAGGCUACCGAACCUGAGUGGGAUUUCUUCAACAGGUCACACCCAAAUGAUUCAGCUCUGAAACCAAUCAGGUAUAAAAUUCUGCUUUUUGUACUAAGAGGUUCAUUAAACUAAUGCAAGUUGUGGGAGGAGAACUUAUCUGAAAGUGACUCAAAAUGAGCCACUAUUUAUUGAGCACCUGCUAUCUCUUGGGCUUUUUCAUUGGAUGCUCUAAAUUCAUAGCCUCAUUUAAUUCAACCUUCACAAUAUCUCUAUGAAGCAGGUAAAAAUAGCCUUAUUUUGUGAACAAGAAGACUGAGGCUAAGGAGGAUUGAUCAAUGUGCCACAGGCCACACUGCUUUGAACAGACAGCACUGACUGGGCUGUUCCAAAGGCCGUGAAUCAAAGGAGGAGCACCUCAGUUAUUCUGUACUGAGUGCUGACUUUAAGGUGCUUAAAUCAGCUAGAUUUACAAGCUAGAAUACAUUCUGAGAGGCGAAGCCGUUGAGGAUUUAGAGGUGAUAAUUAGUCACAUCUUCAUCUGUUCCAAUUUCUGAAUCAACCAAGGAAUAUGCAAAGAAGUCGGAUAGAUAUCCAGAUGUCAGGGGCGCCUGGGUGGCCCAGUCAGCUGAGCGUCUGACUCUUGAUUUCGGCUCAGGUCACGAUCCCAGGGUCAUGGGAAUCCUGUCUGUCUAACCCAACCAAACCAAGUGCCAAGUGCAGCUUCCAGAACCACAGCCCUCAGCCUGGAAGGGGCCUGCCCCCGGAGCUCACCACAGGCAGGAAGAAGUCGGACUCGGCAGACAGGCGAUUCUAAAGUAGAAGGUCUUGUGUGGACUUAGCCUCAAAUGUUCAGUGAAGCCACCUGGAUUCAUCACUCAAGCCAACCAGUCAGUGUGACUCUACAUCUCUUCAGAGAAAUGUAAAGCCAAAGAGCCAAGUCUUUGCCCCUUCACAGGCCAGAAUGCUAAUUGACAUAUCAAUGUGACCAAAGCAGGGGAGGACCGGUAUGAUGGUUCAUUUUAUGUGUCAACCUGGCCAGGCUAUGGUGCCCAGCUGUUUGAUUAAACACUAGUCCAGA